rnacentral:rRNA from 1 species
GACGAACGCUGGCGGCGUGCUUAACACAUGCAAGUCGAACGGAGAAGCGCCUUCCUUUCUGGUGGGUGUGGAUGAGUGGCGAACGGGUGAGCAACACGUGAGUCACCUGCUCACUUUUUCUGGACAACCGCAUGACAGUGUGGCUAAUACGGGAUAUUCUGGGCCUGUCGCUUGAUGGGUCUGGGAAAGAUAUUGUUUCGGUGGGGGAUGGGUUCGCGGCCUAUCAGCUUGUUGGUGGGGUGAUGGCCUACCAAGGCGAUGAUGAGUAGCCGGCCUGAGAGGGUGGGCGAUCACGCAAGUGCUGCGACGCGGACCAGACUCCGACAGGAGGCAGUAGGGAAGAAUAUGGCACGGUGGGCGGAAGGCUGGUGCAGCGACGCCGCGGGAAUGAUGGAGGCCGGCUGGUUGUAAUCCUCUUUCGGCAGUGAAGCAGGCCGGCCUCGUUUGUGGGUGGGUUGACGGUAGCUGAAUAGAAAGCGCCGGCUAACUACGUG